rnacentral:lncRNA from 1 species
UUCUUGUUCCCCCUCAAUUUAAGAGUUCCCCCUCAAUUUUAGCUUAUAAGCAAUCAAUGAAUUAAGAGGUGGUGCAUACCCGAUAUCCCGUUUUCUUCGCCCUUUUGCCAUUAGCAAAAAAAUAGUAAGGAAAGAUGCAAAAAGAUGAAAUAAACAAGGUUUAUUUAUUGGGAAAAAAAAAAGGGUACAUCAAUGGGAACCAAAGAGAACAACAGCAAAAA